rnacentral:rRNA from 1 species
CGGUGUUCAACUGGCGUGUCCGCGGGACGUCCUGCCGGUGGGCUUAGCCCGCAAGGGCGGCCCAACUUCAAAUCCCAUCGCGGUGCUCUUCACUGAGUGUCGAGGUGGGCCGGCACGUUUACUUUGAACAAAUUAGAGUGCUUAAAGCAGGCUAAAACUUCGCCUGAAUACUGUGUGCAUGGAAUAAUGGAAUAGGACCUCGGUUCUAUUUUGUUGGUUUUCGGAACCCCGAGGUAAUGAUUAAUAGGAACGGAUGGGGGCAUUCGUAUUGCGACGUUAGAGGUGAAAUUCUUGGAUCGUCGCAAGACGGACAGAAGCGAAAGCAUUUGCCAAAAACGCUUUCAUUGAUCAAGAACGAAAGUUAGAGGUUCGAAGGCGAUCAGAUACCGCCCUAGUUCUAACCAUAAACGAUGCCAGCUAGCGAUCCGUCGACGUUCCUCCGAUGACUCGACGGGCAGCUUCCGGGAAACCAAAGCUUUUGGGCUCCGGGGGAAGUAUGGUUGCAAAGCUGAAACUUAAAGGAAUUGACGGAAGGGCACCACCAGGAGUGGAGCCUGCGGCUUAAUUUGACUCAACACGGGAAACCUCACCAGGCCCGGACACCGGAAGGAUUGACAGAUUGAGAGCUCUUUCUUGAUUCGGUGGGUGGUGGUGCAUGGCCGUUCUUAGUUGGUGGAGCGAUUUGUCUGGUUAAUUCCGAUAACGAACGAGACUCUAGCCUGCUAACUAGGCGUAUUUUCGACAUCUCAAAGGUCCGUCGUCCCGGCCCUCGGGUCGUGGGCGUGCGCGAUUUUUACUGUCGGCGUACUAUCAAUUCUUCUUAGAGGGACAGGUGGCUUCUAGCCGCACGAGAUUGAGCAAUAACAGGUCUGUGAUG